ensembl:rRNA 5S_rRNA 5S ribosomal RNA
GCCUGCAGCUGUAUCACCCUGAGCACACCCAUCUCAUCUGAUCUCAGAAGCUAAGCAGGGCCACGCCUCGGUAGUAUUUGGAUGGGAGUCUGACUGGGAAUACCAGGUGCAAUGGGCU